AUUGAACGCUGGCGGCAGGCCUAACACAUGCAAGUCGAACGGUAACAGGAAACAGCUUGCUGUUUCGCUGACGAGUGGCGGACGGGUGAGUAAUGUCUGGGAAACUGCCUGAUUUAGGGGGAUAACUACUGACAACGGUUGCUACUACCGCAUAACGUCGCAAGACCAAAGAGGGGGACCCUCGGGCCUCUUGCCAUCGUAUGUGCCCAGAUGGGAUUAGCUUGUUGGUGGGUUAACGUCUCACCAAGGCGACGAUGCCUAGCUGGUCUGAGAGGAUGACCAGCCACACAGGAACUGAGACACAGUCCAGACUCCUACGGGAGGCAGCAGUGGGGAAUAUUGCACAAGGGGCGCAAGCCUGAUGCAGCCAGGCCGCGUGUAUGAAGAAGGCCUUCGGGUUGUAAAGUACUUUCAGCGGGGAGGAAGGGAGUAAAGUUAAUACCUUUGCUCAUUGACGUUACCCGCAGAAGAAGCACCGGCUAACUCCGU
rnacentral:rRNA from 1 species